CAAUUAAAAAACAAUUUCACAUUACUUGAUCAAAAACCAUUAUAUUCUCCAGUCAUCCAUCAAAUAAUUAGUCGUUCCACGAAACUAAGAACGUGGAAUAAAACCACUGCUUGCUGCAAUUGGAGUGGUGUUACCUGUGACAAUAAGGGACGUGUUAUUGGUCUUGACCUUAGUGGAGAACAUAUCAUUGGCGGAUUUAACAAUUCAACUAGUCUUUUUAGUCUUGUACAUCUCCGGAAACUGGACUUGUCUGAUAACAAUUUCAAUUCUUCCAUUCCAUUAGGAUUCAGCAAGUUGGAGAAGUUAACAUAUCUGAAUUUGUCAAUGGCCGGAUUUGUAGGGCGAAUUCCAGCAGUGAUUUCACAACUUACAAGGUUGGUAACUCUUGAUCUCUCUUUCAUUUCCUACUCGACAAAACCUCAGAUCCCGAAUCUGCAAAAGUUUAUCCAAAAUCUGACCAAAAUUAGGAAAUUGUAUCUAGAUGAUAUAAGUAUAACAUCUCAAGGGCAUGAAUGGAGCAACGCUUUGUUGCCAUUGCAUGACUUGCAAGAAUUGAGCAUGUAUAACUGUGAUCUAUCAGGACCCCUUGAUUCUUCCCUAUCAAAACUAGAGAACCUUUCAAUCAUUAUUCUUGAUGGUAACAAUUUUUCAUCCCCAAUUCCUAAAACAUUUGCAAAUUUUAAAAACCUUACCACCCUCAGUCUUUCAGAUUGUGGAUUGAUUGGAACAUUUCCACAAAAGAUCUUUCAAAUUAAAACACUGUCUAUUCUUGACAUAUCAUUCAACUUAUAUCUCCAGGGUUCAUUUCCAGAAUUUCCAUUAAAUGGAUCAAUCCAUACUUUGCUGGUAGGUUUCACAAGCUUCUCGGGAGAAAUUCCACGCACUAUUGGUAACCUGAGAAACUUAUUUGAAUUGGAUCUUUAUUAUUGUCAAUUUUAUGGAACACUUCCGAGUUCAAUGUCAAACCUCACACACCUUACCUUCCUACAACUUUCUCAUAAUCAUUUAAAUGGUAUAGUUCCCUCAUUCCUUUUUUCUAUCCCAUCUUUGGAAGAGAUUUGGCUUCCAUUCAACCAGUUUAGUAAAUUCGACGAAUCCAUAAAUGUGUCUUCCUCUAUAUUAAAAAUCCUUGAUUUAAGUUAUAAUUAUCUAUCAGGGCCUUUUCCAAUGUCCAUCUCUCAGCUCCAUUCACUUAAUAACCUUGAUAUUUCUUCUAAUAGGUUGAAUGAUUCACUACAACUAGAUGCGAUUUUGGAACUUUCAAAUUUAAUUGAACUAGACCUUUCACACAACAGCAUAUCAAUCAAUGUGAACGUUACAAAUGUUGGUCAUGUUUUCCUUCCUAAUAUUAGAUAUAUUAAUUUUGCAUCCUGCAAUUUGAAAACUUUCCCUAACUUCUUGCUAAAUCAAUCAACAUUAUUCAGUCUUGACCUUUCAGAUAACCAAAUUCAAGGAAAAAUACCAAACUGGAUUUGGGAGCUACAAUAUCUUAAAAUCUUUAAUAUUUCUCACAAUCUUCUGACUGAUUUGGAAGCACCUAGACAAAAUCUCAUUUCCAACUUGAGACUUCUUGAUAUUUCCUUCAACUACAUUUAUGGAACAAUUUCUCCAUCUUUAAUCGCAAUGACUAGUACAAUUUUGGCAAUAAAUUUAAUGAAUAACAAUUUCAAUGGUGUUAUACCAGAUAUGUUUCCAACUUCUUGUGCCUUAAGAACUUUGAACUUCCAUGGAAAUCUAUUACAUGGGCCAAUUCCGCAUUCUCUCUCUCACUGCUCAUCAAUAGAGGUAUUAGACAUUGGAUCAAAUCAAAUUUUUGGUGGCUUUCCAUGCUUUUUGAAAAACUUACCGACACUUCUUGUCUUGGUUUUGCGGAACAACAGAUUGCAUGGUUCCAUAGAAUGUUCACAUUCACUCGAAAAUAAGCCUUGGAAAAUUAUUCAAAUUGUGGACAUUGCUUUCAAUAAUUUCAACGGAAAACUACCAGAAAAAUUCUUCACAACGUGGGAAAAAAUGAUGCAUGAUGAAGAUCAUGUUGUAUCAGGAUUCAUUCACUCAGGGACAAUAUACUAUUCCUAUCAGGAUAGUGUGACAGUUUCUAUUAAAGGUCAACAAGUGAAGUUGGUUAAAAUUCUAAGUAUAUUCACAACCAUUGAUUUCUCAUCCAAUUAUUUUGAAGGACCAAUACCAGAGGUGUUGAUGGACUUCAAAGCAAUCCAUGUUCUCAACUUUUCAAACAAUGCUCUCUCUGGUGAAAUUCCACCAACUAUUGGGAACCUAAAACAGUUAGAGUCAUUGGACCUCUCAAAUAAUUCUUUGGUUGGUGAAAUUCCAACACAGAUUGCAAGUUUGUCCUUCCUUUCUUAUUUGAACCUCUCCUAUAAUCAUUUGGUGGGGAAGAUUCCAACAGGUACCCAACUUCAGUCAUUUGAAGCAUCUUCGUUUGAAGGAAAUGAUGGCCUAUAUGGUUUUCCAUUGACUAAAAAACUAGACUAUUGGCCAGACUUGCCUCCACAGCCAUCAUCUGGAAGGUUAGCUAGUUCAAUUGACUGGAAUUUUUUAAGUGUGGAGUUGGGAAUUGUUUUUGGGCUCGGAAUCAUCAUUGGUCCUUUAAUGUUUUGGAAGCAAUGGAGGGUAAGAUAUUGGAAAUUUGUGGACAAAAUUCUUUGUUGGCUCUUUUCAAGGAUGUAUCUUGAAUAUACAACCGAUAGAGGAAAAGCAUACACAGUUUUAAGGUGGCGAUAUCAUUGAUGUAAUUUGUAAAUAAGGUCCCCUAGUUUCAUUUAUGUUGUUUAUUGUGUGAACUUCUUUUUCAUGAUAUGUAUUGGAAAUUUGGAACUUUGAAGGAUGUGUCUUUUUAGUACUAUAUAUAUUGUUAAUUAAGCUUAAUUAUUUUUACACAUAACCAACUGUUGCAGAUUCUCUAAUUCCUUUGUUUUCUUUCUGUGUUUUUUUGAAAAAGGCUAAUAUUAUUAGAGCACACAAGUACAAGAAGUACUUGAAAGAAAAUAGGAACACCAACACCACAGACCCCCCAAAGUUAGGCACAACAAAACAAUAAAAUAGGAACCAUGGCAGAAACAUAGCGCUCACAACACACCGAGAAGAACAAAAACGGAGGCCUGAAACACGCUCCCCCAAUGCAGCGCCCAAGAGAACUGCCAUCAACGACGCCUAAGACAUAACCCGGGAUCCCAACACUAUUCGUAAAACAAACACACCGGGAUUUUGUGCCGACUCAAACCCCACUUCCACGACAGAAGUUUAAUCGCAUUGACCACCUUUUCUGGAUCUUUCACACCAUUUGAGAAAAUAACCUCGUUUCUCUAAAUUCCAAAUCAACCACACUGUAGCAUGCCAUAUCAACGAAAAACCACUCCUCAGCUUCUUGUUACUCACAGCCCCUAUCAAACAGUCGAAAAGCAGAUAGAGGUUCGGCGGGAUAACAAUCACCAGACCAAGCCNNNNNNNNNNNNNNNNNNNNNNNNNNNNNNNNNNNNNNNNNNNNNNNNNNNNNNNNNNNNNNNNNNNNNNNNNNNNNNNNNNNNNNNNNNNNNNNNNNGCACUAAAUUCACCUUUGUCGGAAUCCGAUUUAGUAAUAAUUUCCAUGAAAAGGCUAUGACUUUAUAUGGCACCGGACUCUUCCAAAUGUUUUUAAACACAUUCAGCUAUUGAACAAUGAAUAUUGGUUCCCAAAUAAAAACACUACCAUGAAGCAAAUAAGCAGACCUUACCGAAAACCUCCCACCGUCUUCUAGAUCCCAACGCCAAUUGUCUUCCGUAUCCGUAAACUCCAAAACUGGAAGCCCCUCCAAAAGAUCAUUAAGAAUGGUUCACUACAACUAGAUACGAUUUUGGAACUUAGAAAUUUAAUUGCACUAUCCCUUUCACACAAUAACCUUCAACCGAUGUGAAUGAUGCAAACUAAGGUCAUAUUUACCUUCCCAAUAAUAGGUAUUUUGAUUUGGCAUCCUGCAACUUGAAAAUUUUCCUUAGCUUCUUGCUAAACCAAUCAAAAUUGAUCCAUCUAGACCUUUCAGAUAACCAAAUUCAAGGAAAAAUACCAAACUGUAUUUGGAAACUACUUGAAGCUAUAAAAGAAAAAUCACUCACAACUUACGUAGUGGUAACUCUGAAUUUAGCUACUUAAUUUGUAAUAUUAAGAAUGUAUUGACUCUAAAUUUCAACUUUGUGGUAAAGUUUAUCAAACGACAAGCGAAUAUGGUUGCUCAUCAUCUUCCUAGGGCGGCCAAUUCUUGGUCUAGUCGCUACUUAACACUUUUGAUUUGUUGCCUCUUUGUAUUACAUCUUUAUUGAAUAAUGAAAUGAUAUGAGUUGUUGUUUGUCAAAAAAAAAUAUGAUGCAACAUAUGUUUGGUAGUUGAUAUAUAGUAUAAGAAAUCAUACCAAUUAUUUGAAAAACAGACCAUAUUAAAGAGACCACAGAGUAAAAGAUGUUCUAGAAGAGUGAAUUCCUAAUCUUUCAAACCUCAGUCACCGCAAGCUAGUAUAUUAUUUAUAGUUAAGGGUCCCAAAAAUUGAAUGGCAAAGGUGAGACCACCUCUCAAAAUUGAGUUGAAGAAAGUCAUGGUGAGUGAACAACGGCGGCCAAACUCUUCAACCAAACUUGCAACUAUAUUAUUUAUUAUUGCAAAGAAUAUUCAAUGGAAGAAUGUCCCAUUGCCCGCUUGCAUCAUAGCAUAUAUAUAAAUUAAGCUAAAAUAGUGUCUGAGAGUCAUUAGAAACAGCAAUGAGAAUUACAUUAUUAGUUUCAUUCUUUCUGUGCUACUACUACUGCAUAUAUAUCACUCAUGCAUCUCCCAAUUGUCUUGAGGAUCAACAAUCUUUGUUGCUCCAAUUAAAAAACAAUUUCACAUUUCUUGAUCGAAAACAAUUAUAUUCUCCCAUCAUCCAUGAAAUAAUUAGUCGUUCCACCAAACUAAGAACGUGGAUUAAAACGACUGCUUGCUGCAAUUGGAGUGGUGUUACCUGUGACAAUAAGGGACGUGUUAUUGGUCUUGACCUUAGUGGAGAACAUAUCAUUGGCGGAUUUAACAAUUCAAGUAGUCUUUUUAGUCUUGUACAUCUCCAGAAACUGAACUUGAAUGACAACUAUUUCAAUACUUCCAUUCCAU
rnacentral:lncRNA from 1 species